rnacentral:lncRNA from 1 species
GGUCGCAACUGCAUUCGGCAUGUGGAAGCUAUAAGGCUGCAUAAAGCAAAGGGUUUGCGCUACCUGCUGCUGCAGCACAACAAGCUGGAGGCCUCGGCGCUGCCCGCGGGGACGCUGAGGCCUCUGCGAGCCCUGCACACCUUGCACCUCUAUGGCAACAGGCUGGAGCGCGUGCCUCCUGCAUUGCCCCGCCAUUUGCAGGCCCUGGUGAUGCCCCACAACCGCGUGGCUGCGCUAGGUGCGCGGGAUCUGGUCUCCGCGCGAGCCUUGACCGAACUCAACCUGGCCUACAACCGCCUGGCCAGCGCACACGUGCAUCCCGGCGCCUUCCGCCGUCUGCGCGCCUUGCGCAGCUUGGACCUGGCCGGUAACCAGUUGAGCCGGCUGCCUGAGGGCCUGCCUGCCAGUUUGCGUUCACUGAGACUGCAACGCAACCAAUUGCGGACCCUGGAGCCAGAGCAGCUCGCUGGGCUGAAUAAGCUGCGGGAGCUGAACUUGGCACACAACCGGCUCCGCGUAGGCGACAUUGAACCUGGCGCUUGGCACGAGCUGCAGGCACUGCAGGUCAGGGGUUUAACUACAAUGUGGUCAUCCCCAUCCCACCGUUGGCCCAGCUCUGAGCCAGGGCAUGCCAGAGUCCGGUGCGGGCAGCCUGGGCUGGUUGAAACAGACCCUGUUCAGGCUGUUGAGUCCCCACCUGACUUGUGAUCACCCUCCAUUCCACUCAAUGACAGCGGCCUCUAGGUCCUGGCAACCCAGCCGGGCCCAUGACAGGACCCUUAUUCCUCUCUGACCCCAAACAUCCUAGUUAGAGGUCAUCAGGGUGAUCACAGAUCACUGUGGUAGUUAGUGAGGACCAGAGCCAGCUGUGGGGGCUGGGCCCAGCUGCACAGCAUAGCGGAGGAGGCUG